rnacentral:rRNA from 1 species
GCGCGAAAACUUUACAAUGCGGGAAACCGUGAUAAGGGAACUCCGAGUGCCCACAGGUGAAGAAAGGGCCGGGCAAGACCGGUGCCAGCCGCCGCGGUAAUACCGGCGGCUCGAGUGGUGGCCACUAUUACUGGACUUAAAGCGUUCGUAGCUGGUCUGUUAAGUCUCUGGGGAAAUCUACUGGCUUAACCAAUAGGCUCUCAGGGAUACUGGCAGACUAGGGACCGGGAGAGGUGAGAGGUACUCCAGGGGUAGGAGUGAAAUCCUGUAAUCCUUGGGGGACCACCUGUGGCGAAGGCGUCUCACCAGAACGGCUCCGACAGUGAGGGACGAAAGCUGGGGGAACAAACCGGAUUAGAUACCCGGGUAGUCCCAGCCGUAAACGAUGCGCGUUAGGUGUAUCGGUGACCACGAGUCACCGAGGUGCCGAAGAGAAAUCGUGAAACGUGCCGCCUGGGAAGUACGGUCGCAAGGCUGAAACUUAAAGGAAUUGGCGGGGGAGCACACAACAGGUGGAGCCUGCGGUUUAAUCGGACUCAACGCCGGAAAUCUCACCGGAUAAGACAGUGGAUGAUAGUCGGGCUGAAGACUCUACUUGACUAGCUGAGAAGUAGUGCAUGGCC